rnacentral:sRNA from 1 species
GCAGGAGGUCACAGCGGGCGGAGGGCACAGAGCGGAAGGCGCGGGCCACAGGGUGCAGAGCGCAAGGCGCAUGGCGAGGACGCGGCCCGCGGCGGGGGUUCCAGAGCCGGCCGGACCGACCCUGCGGGAGCGGCCUCCCCGGACCGUGGGGGUCCUGGCGGGCGCGGGGGACACGAGGGGCGCCGGCAAAGCAGGGGGUCACCCGGGCCCCGCACCCCCUGAGGCUCCGCGCCGCCGGGGCGCCCCCAGGCCGGACUGCAUAUCCUUCCUCCCACAGGGCAAGCCCGACCUGAACACGGCGCUGCCCGUGCGCCAGACGGCGUCCAUCUUCAAGCAGCCGGUGACCAAGAUUACCAACCACCCCAGCAACAAGGUCAAGAGCGACCCGCAGAAGGCAGUGGACCAGCCGCGCCAGCUCUUCUGGGAGAAGAAGCUGAGCGGCCUGAACGCCUUCGACAUUGCUGAGGAGCUGGUCAAGACCAUGGACCUCCCCAAGGGCCUGCAGGGGGUGGGACCUGGCUGCACGGAUGAGACGCUGCUGUCGGCCAUCGCCAGCGCCCUGCACACUAGCACCAUGCCCAUCACGGGACAGCUCUCGGCCGCCGUGGAGAAGAACCCCGGCGUAUGGCUCAACACCACGCAGCCCCUGUGCAAAGCCUUCAUGGUGACCGACGAGGACAUCAGGAAGCAGGAAGAGCUGGUGCAGCAGGUGCGGAAGCGGCUGGAGGAGGCGCUGAUGGCCGACAUGCUGGCGCACGUGGAGGAGCUGGCCCGUGACGGGGAGGCGCCGCUGGACAAGGCCUGCGCUGAGGACGACGACGAGGAAGACGAGGAGGAGGAGGAAGAGGAGCCCGACCCGGACCCGGAGAUGGAGCACGUCUAGGGCAGAGGCCCUGCCGAGAGCCCGUGCUGCCUGCUGGAGCCGCCUGCAGACGCGGCCCUCGGCCCCACGUGAACCAGGCUCGGCGGCCAAGCCCAGCCUUGGAGACACCCGGGAGGAAGGCCGUGCUCCUGGCUCCCUCCUCGGCCCGUCCC